UACAGAGGUCCCAAGCGUUGUUCGGAUUCACUGGGCGUAAAGGGUGCGUAGGCGGCACGGUAAGUCAGAGGUGAAAUCCCGGAGCUCAACUUCGGAAUUGCCUCCGAUACUGCCGUGCUUGAGGACUGGAGAGGAGAUUGGAAUUCACAGUGGAGCAGUGAAAUGCGUAGAUAUUGUGAGGAACACUAGUGGCGAAGGCGAAUCUCUGGACAGUUCCUGACGCUGAGGCACGAAGGCCAGGGGAGCAAACGGG
rnacentral:rRNA from 1 species